rnacentral:pre_miRNA from 1 species
GGCUUUUUGGAUCCGUGUUGAGAUUUCGUCAGACACUAUACGUCAGGAAUGAUGAGAAUCUCAGGAUAAGUGAAGCA